rnacentral:rRNA from 1 species
CUGCUUUUGUACGGAACGAAAAAGUCCGGGUUAAUACCCUGGGCCCAUGACGGUACCGUAAGAAUAAGCACCGGCUAACUACGUGCCAGCAGCCGCGGUAAUACGUAGGGUGCAAGCGUUAAUCGGAAUUACUGGGCGUAAAGCGUGCGCAGGCGGUUGUGUAAGACAGGCGUGAAAUCCCCGGGCUCAACCUGGGAAUGGCGCUUGUGACUGCACAGCUCGAGUGCGGCAGAGGGGGAUGGAAUUCCGCGUGUAGCAGUGAAAUGCGUAGAUAUGCGGAGGAACACCAAUGGCGAAGGCAAUCCCCUGGGCCUGCACUGACGCUCAUGCACGAAAGCGUGGGGAGCAAAACAGGAUUAGAUACCCUGGUAGUCCACGCCCUAAACGAUGUCAACUGGUUGUUGGGUCUUAGCUGACUCAGUAACGAAGCUAACGCGUGAAGUUGACCGCCUGGGGAGUACGGCCGCAAGGUUGAAACUCAAAGGAAUUGACGGG